rnacentral:rRNA from 1 species
GACGAACGCUGGCGGCGUGCCUAAUACAUGCAAGUUGAGCGCUGAAGGUUGGUACUUGUACCGACUGGAUGAGCAGCGAACGGGUGAGUAACGCGUGGGGAAUCUGCCUUUGAGCGGGGGACAACAUUUGGAAACGAAUGCUAAUACCGCAUAAAAACUUUAAACACAAGUUUUAAGUUUGAAAGAUGCAAUUGCAUCACUCAAAGAUGAUCCCGCGUUGUAUUAGCUAGUUGGUGAGGUAAAGGCUCACCAAGGCGAUGAUACAUAGCCGACCUGAGAGGGUGAUCGGCCACAAUGGGACUGAGACACGGCCCAAACUCCUACGGGAGGCAGCAGUAGGGAAUCUUCGGCAAUGGACGAAAGUCUGACCGAGCAACGCCGCGUGAGUGAAGAAGGUUUUCGGAUCGUAAAACUCGGUUGGUAGAGAAGAACGUUGGUGAGAGUGGAAAGCUCAUCAAGUGACGGUAACUACCCAGAAAGGGACGGCUAACUACGUG